rnacentral:misc_RNA from 1 species
CGCGGUGUGUUUUCCGACGACCAGUAGCCUAGGAAUGCAAUAAAACGAUGAUUAUUUCUUGACAAAGCCACAACAUUACAAAGAAGAUACAUCAGACGAAGUUGAGUUUGACUCCAACAUUCAAGCAGAGUACGACAACAGCAAUGCAGGCAAGGAAAAAAAGAAAAAACACCAACGGAAU